ACAUGCCUACAGCAUAGCGUUAAUGCAUUAGAACCCAUUAGAACUUUGUAGUUAAGGGUGCUUGGGCUAGAGUAGUACUGGGAUGGGUGACAACCCGAGAAGUCCUAGUAUUUUACAUGCC
rnacentral:rRNA from 1 species